GCAAUGUACUGAUGCCUGGUCCUUGUAUUUAUUUGCAAGGAUAGACGGCUUAACAACAACACUUUGUCUGGAACUAUUCCUAUGUCAUUGACUACUAUCAGUUCACUUCAAUCCCUUGAUCUUUCAAACAAUCACUUAACAGGAGUUGUCCCAGUUAAUGGCUCCUUUCAACUUUUUACUUCCAGCAGUUUUCAAAAUAAUAAUUUUACAUUUCCUCCAAACUCCACCGCC